AACAUUGCUCAGUAGCCUGUGAGGUUUCUUUAUUGGGCUGAAACCCAACCAUGCGGCAACCUUGUCCAAAUGGAGUUUCUGAGUGGAGCCUGGGGUCUGGCCUGGGUUUUGGUAGCUUAAGUCAUGGUGAGUCUCUGAGAACCUCUUCAUUUUCAGUAAGUAAGCACAUUUUGAAGGUCUGCAGCAAGACAGCAUUUAAGAAGCUUCUGCUAGAAUAACCACCAACAGAUUGUAAAUUUCAAAGUGCAGUGUAAUUGAAUCUGAUCUCUGUCUUUUACAGACUGUAGUAAUUGGAAAUUGCCUUUCUUUUAAAUGUAUACCGUUCCUAGCAUGGCUUCUUAUUGGAACCGUGAUCUCAUCAUUUUUAAAGACAUAGGAAUGUGAAGUAAGAAGUGGCGUACAGUCCCCUUCAUACUAGCAAAGUGGCAAAGUGGAGACUUUGGGAUACUUCCUGCUGUGUCUUUGGUAUUAAACUAAGUCCUACACAGUAAUUAACAGCUUAGCAAAUAUGAACUGAGCCCUUGAAUAGCCACAGCCUGCAGCCCAAAUAACAGUGCUCUGUUCCAGGUCAAAACAGAUGACCUACAGAAGGGCUGAGUGGAAGCAGCCCGGGUUUGCACUUGGCAGCGGGAUACAGCACGCUGCUUGUAGCACCCCUCUGGCCAGCCCUGCAGGGGUUGCAUCCCAGAAGGUCCAUGCUGCCCUGGCUAUAUACUCUUCACACCUCCUUAGUCUCAGCCUUUGUCUGAACACCAUCCUACCCAGUGGCUGAGCAGUUCUGUGUAUAAUGUAGAGGGUCAAAAAUUUUUCUUCGGCAAUGGGAAUACAAUGAUUUCCCUAAUUUUUAGUUCCUGUUUGUCUAGGACAUCUAAAGGUAGGAUUUGAACUUAAGGAAAUGAAGUAAAACAGAUAAGUCUGGACCUGAACAUCAUCUUUUGUAAUGUAGGUUUGCCACUUCAUGUGCACAUUCUUUCUCUUCCUACAUCCCUUUUCUGUGUCAAUAACAGUUUUUUUGGCAUGCAAUGAUGGACAAGUUAUUUGCAUAGGUAUUGUUUAAAGAUUGUGCAGAAAGCUACAAACAGAUUUGAGGCCUGGGAUCUUUAGUGGAGAGUCUAUUUAACUUUAUCAGGAAGAAAUUUAAGACUAGAUUUGCUUAGGAUAAAGUACCCUUAUGGUAGGACUGUACUGGUCACUCAAAAAUGAUUGAAUGGCUCAAGAGAAUGCAAGGAGACUGGUGAAGACUGUCUCAGCCAUCUGUAACCUAAGUCUAAGCAAGCCCAAACUAGAAAUUUGGCUUGUUGGAAAGGGUGGUACAUUGGUAAGAAAAACCUCCUAAGGAGUGAUUGUUCAUACCCUCUUCUUUAAAACAAGGCUGAAAAACUUUUCAGAAGACAUAUUCUAGCCAAAUAUUUACUUAAAUAGAUGGCUAUUUUGUUCUAUACAGGCUUUCAGAGUUGAAAUUAAAAAGGUAAUGAUACACCAGAGAUGAGAAAGAGUGAUCGUAAUGGUUCAGUCUUGCUUUUAAAUUCUCUGAAUUUCUCACCUGCAUGUAACAAAUGAGUGGAUACUCAAAACUGGGCCUAUGUCUAAGACAACUGACACGAAUUCUAAAAAAUUUAGGAUAUGAUGGAGGGUAGGACCUUUCUCCGCACCUACUUACCUGUUCCAUGGGGGAAAGAAGUGUUUGCAGUUCUCUUGGACGAUGCAGCAGAGAGAAAUUGGCUAUCACCUUCUCCUUGUCCUCAAGACAGUUGUUUUGUUCUCAUCUUUGUUGAUGAGGAGGACAUACCACCACUUCUCCUGUUGUUGUGCAUAUUGAGUAGUAGGAAAUAUCCUGAUGAUCAGGUGCUUUGGAGGGUCAUCACAGAAGAGGCUGACCAGCUCCUCCUGUCCAAAGGCUGUCUCUUUCGUUGUUUCCGAGUAGUUUAAAGCUGUCAUCUACCUGCUCUGUCUACCAGUAGAGAUGAUCAUACUCUCAGCUUUCUGUGUCAUGGGCAGGAAAGUACAUGAGAAUUUGGACUGCAGAGACAGUUAUUACCUGCAACUGUGUGCUGCCAUGAUGUGGUUACAAGCUGGGUUUCAGUUUCACAUUUUUUUUAUUAGCUAUAACUAUUUGGACUGGCUGUGGCACUUUGCUCAAUGCUUUUCUCUCAUGAAAUCCAUCUACUCAUAUCUUCUCACUUAAAAAAUAUAUUUUGCAUGCAAGUUCCCCAAAUAGCCAAUGCCACUCCAAUUCCCACCUUUUUAAGGAAAUACCACUUAAGCAUCCAUGUGUGCUGAGCAGUGAUGUUUUCAAAGACCGGGAAUAUAUUACUGUGAUCAUAGGGAAGGAGACAGGAUUAGGUACGUGUCACCCACUGCUUCCAUUAUUUCAGUUGGACUUUGAAGUGCAGACCUCUUGCAGUUGGGUGACUGAAGCAAGGCAACUGAAAUUAGAAACCACUUUUAAUAAACACUGUAUAAAUAACAUUAGUAUGAGGGAUUAAAUGAAGAGCAGUGAAGGAAUUUAAGGGCAUGAGGUUGAUGGUUCUCCUUAUGAUGCUUCUUUGAACCUGUGACCAAAUCCUACUAUUUACCCUGCGGUAUUACUUACUCCACUGUGCCAAAGCAGUUGUCUGUUUUGGAAGAGGUAACAGUUUCACAUAUGUACCAUAUUUUAAGAAUGAUUGAUAGGCUUCACGUAAUCAGAGUGUGAGUUACACGUAGGUAAUUCUGCUAACUAAUAAAUAUACUUCACACUAACCUCUUUGUGAUUACUCAGAAAUAUCUGCAUACACAGUCUGAAGGAUUCCCUAUGCUUUUAAUUCAUUUUUCUUUCAUGCUAAUAUCAGUGUUGUGAUCCUCUGUCCUCUGUUCUCUGGUAAAGGUAGAAGUGGCACUGUUCCUCUUUCUAGGACACAGCGUGCUGCCUGCGUAUUUCCACUUCUAAAUUCACAGCCAGGCUUCACCCAAAAAGACAAACAACUAUUCUGUUGAGCAUUGCUGGUCAUCCAAAUGAGAUCCAAAAGCAGAGCUCCCACUUCACUAGGCUCUGCUAUGCUGCAGACGGUGAUGGACUCUUCUGGCUGUGAUGGACUCUUCUGGCUGUGAUGUCUUCCCUCUUGCCGUUCCAGUAAGAAAAAAUAAAUACAAUAUUCAUAGGGAGGAAAAAAGAAAGCAAGGAGCUAUGUCUGUUUCUCAGUGAUGCUAGCAUGCAGGCAGGAAUGCAGACAUCUGGAUUUUGGUUGUCACUCUCCUAUUCAAUAUGCUACUCAUGACCCAGUAUCUAGCAGAGAAAAGGAAAUCUCUUUUCAGGUAUCAUCAGAUCCCAUAUUGAGAAAUUAGCAUCACGUCCUAUUUCUGCACCAAGCAGCUCCCGGCUAUCUGAAGAAGCUAUCUCACUACUCCCACCUGUGGAUCUUGUCUUAUGAAACCAGUUCUCCCUUGGUUUUGAAUGAGGUUCAGCAUCACCUCCCUUGGAAUCUCACUGCAAUAAUGUGGGCUCAGAACAGCUGUUUUUACUUUGCCUUGCUGAUUGCAGUCAAGAGAUAAAUGGCAAAGGAGUAAAUUCUGCCUGCCUGCUACAGGUUGCAUCACACAAUCACGGAUAAAUCAUUCCAAUCAGAUGUACACACACAGCUGUGUUUUGUGUGCUCACGCAGAAACAGACUCCAGUUCUCUCAGGAACAGUCCCAGCUACUCAACUGGGACUACAUUAUCAAUACAGCAACAACACUCCACACGCAGAGUCACCUGAGCUGUUGUUCCAUGUGGUUUUCCUGGAGUGCAUGUUCUUCCCACAAGGAUUUGCAGUUCUCCUACGGUGCACACCCCACAGAUGCUAACACACAAAGGUCUUUUGAAGAGCAGCAGUCACCGCUUGUCAAAGGAACGAAAAAGAAGCCUUUACAAAAUCUGAAGACACUGGAAUACUUUAUGCAAUUUCCUGGACUAUAUGCUACCUCUUGAGUCCAGAAAAUACUGCAGGUUUAUGGACAAUGUUCCAUCAGAAAUCCUCGUAAAACUGAAGCAGUUGUUUAUCUCUUUAAAAAAGCAAACAAAGAAAGAAAAGAUCAUGGGCCCCAUUGGCUUCCUAGUCUUAAUCCUAGUCUAGAGUCUAAUUAGAUUUCAUAUCUUCCUCCAGCCUCUCUCAGUUUCAGAUGGAAGCAGGGUGGGGGUGGUGAUGAAACCCACAGGAAAUGGGUGCUGCUGAAGGAAAAUGCAGAUGGAAAAAAGGAGACACAUAAGAACAGAGAAAGGAGAGAGAAAGAGAUGAAGGAACCAGGACGCAUAGGGAACGUACAGCAGAGAGAGGACGCUCUGAAAGACCACCUCUGCCACCCUUAAAAAAACCUGAAUGUAACUAAAAAGAGUAUGAAGAAUUUAAUAGAUUACAGAUACUUUAAUGGACAUAUACAGAAAUAAACAGUAUGGUGGUCAGAUUCUCUGGGACCUGGAAUUCUUCCUCCUGGACAGGCCUUUAACACGAUAAUUAAAGAGCCUUCAUUAUAUUUAUGCUGUGGGCCUCGUGUUUCCUACAGUCUCUAAGCUCCUCAGCUGGCGGGUGGCAAACUCCAGGAACAGGACUCAGGCAGACCAUGCUUCUUGGUAGAGCCCUUCCAUUUAGUUUUCAUCAAAUCUCUCAGAGACCUGCUCCGCAGAAAUGUUUAUACCUGGUCUCAAUCAAUUCCUUAAGUCUUAGCACCUGAGUAACCUACCCGUGAAGCUGGGUGUCACAAUGUUUUGCUUCUCCGAGAUGCUGUGAAGAUAAAGGACAGACACCAAGGAAAGGGCUUGGUAAAUCAGGUCCAGCACCAUGCACACGUGGGCGUUUUGUUGCCAGGACCGUCUCCACAGAAGAUGGUUUUGCUCCAGACAGACGCACCAGCACUCUGCUCCAGAUUUGAGGGUGUGACAUACACGCACCCUGAGCGGUGCUAUGCCACUUUUAUCCCAAAUCUAGGGUGGGUGAUGACUUUUUUUGGUCAAGAACUUGUCUGCAGUGAUUCACACCCUCUGAGACUGUAAAAAAAGUUGGGAACAUCAGAGCAUAACAAUAACCUUGGCAUUUAUUGCUUUCUGUGAAAAGUAUUUUAUUCAUCUAGGUAUAUAUUACAUACUGAAAAAAUGUUAUCAGAGCUUGAAAAGACAAUAGAUGUGCUUGAUUUGUGGGCUAUAAAUACACUUAAGCGGAAGGGAGGCCUAAAAACCUAGUGUAUCACAAAAUAGUAACUUCAGAUUUCAAGGCGGAAGGCCAAAUUUAAGUAUAAGCUGUUAUUCUCUGUAUUCCCUGGGAUCACAAAGUGAGGCAUAGAGGAUGAGAGGCAGAGAGGAUGAGAGGCACUGGGCUUGAUGAAGGGGUGUCGUAAUUAUUUUAAGAAACUAGGUUUUGUUCUGGGUAUUUUCCCCUUUGUCCCUGAAUUCGGAUUAGCUCUGAGAAGCGAGCAGGCCUGAGAAUUUCCAUUCAUAUUCAGAGGGGAAAACUCACAGAAAUUUUGUUAAGAGUUGGUUCAUGUCAGUCCCCUCCCAAGCACAUCUUUUAUUACAGUCUAUGAACCAAAAUGACUAUGAAAAAGCAGGGAUGAGUGAAGUCUCUUUAACGUGUAAAGAGGCAUCGCUCUGGUUUGUGUAACAGCAGCAACGAGCAGGCAGGUAUAAAACACUGUUCGUUUAUAGGCACUGUGUAAAUGUCAAUGAUUCUCGCAAUAGAUAUGGAAGUAGAUAAUUUUUAUUGUAAUGUGACUGUUAAUUCGUAUUCAAACUUGCGUCAGAAAACCUGGACUCGGGUCUCCUGAAGUUUAAUAACCUAUUCAUGGCCCCGAAAUAAGCGUUGUGGUUGUCAGAGGUUCCAGGUAGGGCUGCUUGCAGUGCCCCCAGCCAACACCGCAGCGAUUUGUUGCAUUAUCUGUUGAUUUCCAGUCCACUGCAUGCUUUGGAAAAUAUGUCUGUGGGUUCGAGAAUUUUGCUUGUUUUGCUUAAAUAGAGAAAACCCUGGUGAGAGCAGAGACGAGUCCAUCCGUCCUUCUCAGCGUGUUUGUGGUUUGCAAGAAGGGGGAAAUCUGUUCUUUUAAGCAACGCUACCAGCGAUGAAGCAUCUCUGGCUUGCGGAGCGAGCUGGGGAUGGAUGCGGGAGAGGGGGGAAAAAAAACCACCUCAUUUUUGAGAGCGAGAUAAGGCUGCAAAACGCGCUGGCAGGGCGCUGUCUCAGGGGAGACGGUUUCUCAGGUGCGUUUCCCUUCGGCCUCAGGGUAAUGCACCAAAGAGAAAACCGCAGCCCAAGCCUGGCCCGCAGAUCCUCGGGCUCUGCUCCAGCCGAGCUUCCCUGGUGGAAGGAAGGAACGAGGAUGGGGGGGCUGGCGUGUCCUCCCCCACCCCGCCCUCUGCGGCGGCCGCGCUGCAACCCCCCAACAUUCCCGCAAUGGGGGAGAAGGUGGUGGUGGGGGGAACGGACGG